CCCCUUUGACCAAGUCUUCACAAGCUUUCAGUUGUUGGUUAAUUCACUGACCAUGAACACAAAUGAUAUGGUCUGCUUUAGAAGUCUUGAUAGUUAAUGUGGUAAGCCUUAGCAGUAAAUAGCCUUCCUUUUUAAAAGGGGGACUAAAAUUUCUCAAGAAACUUUAGCUGGGUUAGCUGGGGGUACUCUAAUACCAAAUUCUAAAUCAUGAACAUUUUCUUCACUGUGUACGUGAGGCAAAUCAUGCAUUUUGAGUGCAGCUUGGCCUGGCCCCUCAAGAGAAAAGCAUGUCACCAUACUUGCAGUAGGCAUAUUUGGUUUGAAUGGAUACCAUCACUCUUUUCUCCACAAACAGUGCAGAGAGCUGUCUGGAGUGGCAAUUUGAACAGAUUCCCUGGUGUUCCCUCUGCUCCUUCUAUCAAUACAGUAAGUAAAAGAACCACAUGGGGGAGCCUGGGAGUCUGGGAAAAUCAGCUGUGCUCAAUAGCCAACCUCCCCUUCUAGGAAAACCAGUCCAGGUGCAGCUAUUUUGGUACCUCAUCUCACAUGCACUCUGAAUCAGGGUUUUUCUAUAAGAACUCUUUCAGGAUCAGCAAAAGCUGAGAUGACCUGGUCAUCUUGAUUUGCAAAAUUAAAACCAGGUUGUUGGUUGUCAUUGUAGAUGAGCAACUCAUCUAUUAUUAUUGAACUGUUCUGAGAAAUCUUCAGAAAGAAAGCUCUCAAAAGUACAAAUUAAUUAGGAAAGUUAGACUGUCCUUUCUGAAUUUUCCAUUCAAAAAAUUUAUAUGAAAUAAAGCUACUAAACUGCUUUGUAUUCUAUUAAGAAGUAGCUUCUAAGUGGCAGUCUUAAUAGUUGUUACACUGUAUCACAGCUUUUUAAAGUGUAAACUCAGUUCUUCUCUGUAUAGAAAGGGAGCAUUGUGUUACUUACUGAAUUUAUUUAUACAGAGCGUUUGUUGCUAUCUGUAAUUCCAGCCAUCCACACGAGUCUGUUCUGAGGUGGCAGUAGCACAUGGGAAGAUGAAGUCUCCCUGUUUCUUUACCCCCUUUUCUUUGCUUGUAUCUGAUGACAAUAUAAGAUGUUCUUAAUAAAGUUUUACGUUCUUUUUGA
rnacentral:lncRNA from 1 species